GAAAUACGAUACGUAAUGUGAAUUGCAAAUUCAGUGAAUCAUCGAGUCUUUGAACGCACAUUGCGCCCCCUGGUAUUCCGGGGGGCAUGCCUGUCCGAGCGUCAUUUCUGCCCUCAAGCACGGCUUGUGUGUUGGGCCCCGUCCUCCGAUCCCGGGGGACGGGCCCGAAAGGCAGCGGCGGCACCGCGUCCGGUCCUCGAGCGUAUGGGGCUUUGUCACCCGCUCUGUAGGCCCGGCCGGCGCUUGCCGAUCAACCCAAAUUUUUAUCCAGGUUGACCUCGGAUCAGGUAGGGAUACCCGCUGAACUUAAGC
rnacentral:misc_RNA from 1 species